rnacentral:pre_miRNA from 13 species
ACAGCAAGAAAAAUUAGGGUUUUUUGGGACAGCUAUGUUUUAUCUUCACAAGUCAUAAUGCCCCUAAAAAUCCCUAUUUCUCAUGCAAUGGUC